AGCGAACGCUGGCGGCAGGCCUAACACAUGCAAGUCGAACGAACCUUUCGGGGUUAGUGGCGGACGGGUGAGUAACACGUGGGAACGUGCCUUUAGGUUCGGAAUAACUCAGGGAAACUUGUGCUAAUACCGAAUGUGCCCUUCGGGGGAAAGAUUAAUCGCCUUUAGAGCGGCCCGCGUCUGAUUAGCUAGUUGGUUGAGGUAAUGGCUCACCAAGGCGACGAUCAGUAGCUGGUCUGAGAGGAUGAUCAGCCACAUUGGGACUGAGACACGGCCCAAACUCCUACGGGAGGCAGCAGUGGGGAAUCUUGCGCAAUGGGCGAAAGCCUGACGCAGCCGUGCCGCGUGAAUGAUGAAGGUCUUAGGAUUGUAAAAUUCUUUCACCGGGGACGAUAAUGACGGUACCCGGAGAAGAAGCCCCGGCUAACUUCGUG
rnacentral:rRNA from 1 species